rnacentral:rRNA from 1 species
GACGAACGCUGGCGGCGUGCUUAACACAUGCAAGUCGAGCGGUAAGGCCCUUUUGGGGGUACACGAGCGGCGAACGGGUGAGUAACACGUGGGUGACCUGCCCUCAGCUCUGGGAUAAGCCUGGGAAACUGGGUCUAAUACUGGAUAUGACCUUUCCUCGCAUGGGGGUUGGGUGGAAAGUUUUUUCGGCUGGGGAUGGGCCCGCGGCCUAUCAGCUUGUUGGUGGGGUGAUGGCCUACCAAGGCGACGACGGGUAGCCGGCCUGAGAGGGCGACCGGCCACACUGGGACUGAGACACGGCCCAGACUCCUACGGGAGGCAGCAGUGGGGAAUAUUGCGCAAUGGGCGGAAGCCUGACGCAGCGACGCCGCGUGGGGGAUGACGGCC